rnacentral:rRNA from 1 species
GGGCCCGCACAAGCGGUGGAGUAUGUGGUUUAAUUCGAUGCAACGCGAAGAACCUUACCAGGGUUUGACAUCCUGCGAAUCUCUUGGAAACGAGAGAGUGCCUUCGGGAGCGCAGUGACAGGUGGUGCAUGGCUGUCGUCAGCUCGUGUCGUGAGAUGUUGGGUUAAGUCCCGCAACGAGCGCAACCCACGUCUUUAGUUGCCAGCAUUUAGUUGGGCACUCUAGAGAGACCGCCGGUGAUAAACCGGAGAAGGUGUGGAUGACGUCAAGUCAUCAUGCCCCUUACAUCUGGGCUACACACGUACUACAAUGCUACGGACAAAGGGCAGCAAGUUCGCGAGGACAAGCAAAUCCCAUAAACGUGGCUC